CCUACGGGAGGCAGCAGUGAGGAAUAUUGGUCAAUGGGCGCGAGCCUGAACCAGCCAAGUAGCGUGAAGGAUGACUGCCCUACGGGUUGUAAACUUCUUUUAUAAAGGAAUAAAGUGAGGCACGUGUGCCUUUUUGUAUGUACUUUAUGAAUAAGGAUCGGCUAACUCCGUGCCAGCAGCCGCGGUAAUACGGAGGAUCCGAGCGUUAUCCGGAUUUAUUGGGUUUAAAGGGAGCGUAGAUGGGUUGUUAAGUCAGGUGUGAAAGUUUGCGGCUCAACCGUAAGAUUGCAAUUGAUACUGGCAGCCUUGAGUACAGUUGAGGUAUGCGGAAUGCGGGUUGUAGCGGUGAAAUGCUUAGAUAUCACGAAGAACUCCGAUUGCGAAGGCAGCUUACUAAACUGACACUGACAUUGAUGCUCGAAAGUGUGGGUAUCAAACAGGAUUAGAUACACCUGUAGUC
rnacentral:rRNA from 1 species